GAACUAUUAUUUGACUUCACAAUGGCCUCAAAGUUCCAAGAGUAUGAUGCUGGCAAUCUGGAUAUGCCAAAAACCAGCCAUGAAGUCCUUCCUUUAGUUAAAAGGUGAAAGUUCUCAAGAAAAAAAAAAGUAUGCUGAGAUUGCUAAGAUCUACAGUAAGAAUCAAUCUUCUAUCCAUGAAAUUGUGAAAAAGGACAAAGAAAUUUGUGCUAGUUUUGCUGCUGUACCUAAAACUACAAAAGUUACAGCCACAGUGUGGGCUAAGUGCCGAGCUGAAAUGGAAAAGGCAUUAAAGCCUAAUGAGGAGGUGACUAUCAUGAAGGUCUGGUGGUGAAGAUCUUGCAAGAAGGUGCCUUGUUUGAGAUCUUUCAAGGAAACACAGUACUCAAUAAAUGUGGGUGAGUAGAAAUUACAAUUUAG
rnacentral:lncRNA from 10 species